UUUAGCACACACCGCGAAUUAGGAGUAAACACGAAGGCAGGCCAACGAAUGCCACCGCCGAUGAAUGGAAGCUGAGCAAAAGGAGCUUUUUAAUGUAUAACUGAAACUUUUACAAAUCAAGCGCACAACAUGCUUUGGCCAAACAGCCUGUUUGUGAGUCCGAAAUUCAACGAACGCGUGUACGAAGCAAUAGCCGAGCGUGCGACAAGUGACGAACGCACAGGUCAACUCGCACGCUGUCUCGUGACUAGCACAAUUCAUAAACAGUUACAAAACUUAGUUGUCGCUUAGUUGGUAAGAAGAAUCCUGCGGCUACGGGCGGUGCAAAUCCGAAGGAAGAAGACGCGAGCUCCGACAAAGCCACAAAGGCAAGAAGCAAAUGUGGCAAAUAGUGAAAGAAGAAGCAGAAUAAGUGAAAAAAAUCACACAAAAACAAAUAAGCGGCGCGAAAAAUAGAACGUAUAGCAAGUGAGUGUGUAUGUGUGAAAUACAGUUAUGUACAAAUAAACACACACACAUAUAUCGAAUGUGAAUUGAUAAGCGGUAUUGACGAAGCCGAAAGUGUAGAAAGUGAAUUGAGAGUAGUAUUUGUUUUUGUUGUUGGCGUACACAAAUGUGCGCAUUUCAAGUGAAAUAUUGUAAAGCUGUGCCGCGUUCCACCAGCCACACGCGAAAAUAGUCACAUUUCCAGCAAAUCGUUCAAAAGUUACUUAUACGCCGUGGCAUGCGCUUGAAAACACACUACAAAGCUGGCAAAAUAUUAACUAGCGCGUGUUUCGUGGUUUUUCUGCUUUAUAGUGCGCUUAAAGUCGUCAUGGUGGCCGCGUGCAGUAUAACUGUGAAAUUCACCAGUCACAUGGGCCAGCAUAUCAAAUAAAAGUUAGCCAAGCGCUGUUCCGGUGUGCUCAACCGCUGCGUACAUGUAAGGAAAUAUACUGCUAUGCACACAUGCAAAUACACAAACAACUUUGUUUUGUUUUGUAAAACUGUCAAGUUCAUUGUUUGGAUAAGCGAAAACAAUAACAAAAGCAACAGAGCCAGUGAUGAAUAUCAAAAUGCCUUUGAAAAAACGUAUGCGAACUGGCGAUAAAUGACAGAAAAAAUAUCUGAGAAUAGAAAGUGUAAGUGUCAAGGUAAAUAUUUACGUGGCAUAAUUUAAUGGAGAAAAUUUUAAAUCGCGGAAUCGUAAUUGUAAAGAAAUUUUAAAUACAAACAUACAUAAUUAAACAAAUUACUGCCAGAAAAUAAUACGGAUUUAAAAUACAAAAACAUUUAAAAAAAGGGAAUUUUAACAAAAUAUCUAUAUUGAUAUAUAAGAAAUUUAUGAAAUCUAUGAAUCUGGCGGCAAUAAAAGACAACAAAA